UUUCCGUAGGUGAACCUGCGGAAGGAUCAUUACUGAGUGAGGGCCCCUCGGGGUCCAACCUCCCACCCGUGUUGAACGAACCUUGUUGCUUCGGCGGGCCCGCCUCACGGCCGCCGGGGCGAAUCUGCCCGCGGGCCCGCGCGCGCCAAGGCCACCUGUGAACGCUGUUUGAAGUAUGCAAUCUGAGACAAUUAUUAAAUUAAUUAAAACUUUCAACAACGGAUCUCUUGGUUCCG
rnacentral:misc_RNA from 1 species